rnacentral:misc_RNA from 1 species
AACGCAUCUUGCGCUCUCGGGUCAUUCCUGGGAGCAUGCUUGUUGGAGUAACGGAAACGCUCAACCCCGUCCUUAUCUUUACCGACUAGGAUUGUCUUUAUAGGGUUCGGAUCGUGACGCCUUGUUGUCCUUUUCUUUGAGAAAAGAUAACUGCGUUGAAAUACAAAGAGCCGAAAACCAAAGUGUUUUAAGGAGCUUUGAACUAUUGUUGUAAAUCUUUAUUCAAUAGACCUCAUCUAGCUUUCACACUUUCUGGUAGCAAAGUAGGCUUACCACAAAAAACAAACUUUUUUAUAGCUUGUUCUCCAAUCAAGUAGGACUACCCGCUGAACUUAA